GAUGAACGCUGGCGGCGUGCCUAAUACAUGCAAGUCGAGCGAACGGACGAGGAGCUUGCUUCUCUGACGUUAGCGGCGGACGGGUGAGUAACACGUGGAUAACCUACCUAUAAGACUGGGAUAACUUCGGGAAACCGGAGCUAAUACCGGAUGAUAUUUUGAACCGCAUGGUUCAAUAGUGAAAGACGGUUUUGCUGUCACUUAUAGAUGGAUCCGCGCUGCAUUAGCUAGUUGGUAAGGUAACGGCUUACCAAGGCAACGAUGCAUAGCCGACCUGAGAGGGUGAUCGGCCACACUGGAACUGAGCCACGGUCCAGACUCCUACGGGAGGAAGCAGUAGGGAAUCUUACGCAAUGGGCGAAAGCAUGACGGAGCAACGCCGCGUGAGUGAUGACGGUCUUCGGAUCGUAAAAACCUGUUAUUAGGGAAGAACAAAUGUGUAAGUAACUAUGCACGUCUUGACGGUAACUAAUAAGAAAGCAACGGCUAACUACGUG
rnacentral:rRNA from 1 species